UGGGGAAUCUUGCGCAAUGGGCGAAAGCCUGACGCAGCAACGCCGCGUGAGUGAUGAAGGCCCUCGGGUCGUAAAGCUCUGUCAGAAGGGAAGAAUAAAUGACGGUACCUUCAAAGGAGGCACCGGCUAACUCCGUGCCAGCAGCCGCGGUAAUACGGAGGGUUCAAGCGUUACUCGGAAUCAUUGGGCGUAAAGCGCACGUAGGCGGUCUCUUAAGUCCGGCGUGAAAUCCUGGGGCUCAACCUCAGAUGGCUGUUGGAAACUAAGAGACUUGAGAGUGGAAGGGGUCAGUGGAAUUCCUGGUGUAGGAGUGAAAUCCGUAGAGAUCAGGAGGAACACCGGUGGCGAAGGCGACUGACCGGGCCAUUUCUGACGCUAAUGUGCAAAAGCGUGGGGAGCAAACAG
rnacentral:rRNA from 1 species